GGGGACCUGGACAACCCCCCUAAGAAGUUCCGAGACUGCCUCUUCAAGGUGUGCCCCAUGAACCGCUACUCAGCUCAGAAGCAGUACUGGAAGGCCAAGCAGACUAAGCAGGACAAGGAGAAGAUCGCUGACGUGGUGUUGCUGCAGAAGCUGCAGCAUGCGGCGCAGAUGGAGCAGAAGCAAAACGACACGGAGAACAAGAAGGUGCAUGGGGAUGUCGUGAAGUAUGGCAGUGUGAUCCAGCUCCUGCACAUGAAGAGCAACAAGUACCUGACAGUGAACAAGCGGCUUCCGGCCUUGCUGGAGAAGAACGCCAUGCGGGUGACUCUGGAUGCCACAGGCAACGAGGGUUCCUGGCUCUUCAUCCAGCCCUUCUGGAAGCUGCGGAGCAACGGGGACAACGUG
rnacentral:lncRNA from 1 species